AUUGAACGCUGGCGGCAGGCCUAACACAUGCAAGUCGAACGGUAACAGGAAGAAGCUUGCUUCUUUGCUGACGAGUGGCGGACGGGUGAGUAAUGUCUGGGAAACUGCCUGAUGGAGGGGGAUAACUACUGGAAACGGUAGCUAAUACCGCAUAACGUCGCAAGACCAAAGAGGGGGACCUUCGGGCCUUUUGCCAUCGGAUGUGCCCAGAUGGGAUUAGCUAGUAGGUGGGGUAACGGCUCACCUAGGCGACGAUCCCUAGCUGGUCUGAGAGGAUGACCAGCCACACUGGAACUGAGACACGGUCCAGACCCCGACGGGAGGCAGAAGUGGGGAAUAUUGCACAAUGGGCGCAAGCCUGAUGCAGCCAUGCCGCGUGUAUGAAGAAGGCCUUCGGGUUGUAUAGUACUUUCAGCGGGGAGGAAGGGAGUAAAGUUAAUACCUGUGCUCAUUGACGGUACCCGCAGAAGAAGCACCGGCUAACUCCGUG
rnacentral:rRNA from 1 species